rnacentral:lncRNA from 10 species
UAGACAGGAGUGCUGCAUCUGGAUGGCAUGGCAGAGGGAAGCCCCAGCUGCCACUGCUCCAGGGACCCUUAUAGUUCCACGGUGAUGGGGAACAGAAAGAGGCUCUUCCAGGAAACAGCCUUGGGGACAAGGAGACCACACUUCUGGGUGAUUCGAAGAUCAGACAAGGCUCCUGUAAAAUGAACGAAUGAAGUGAAUGAAUGAGACGGAGUUGCACUGUUAGAGAUGGUGGCAGCAGUGUGAAUCAAAUGAAGUCCCUGCUCUCCCGGUUGUGGCCACGUUAGUCCAGCCCAGAAGAGUCUCCAGGGGCCCGAGCAUCUGUCCUCACAUCAGAACUAGCUUUGGGAUUGUGACUUUGGGGUUGCUUUGUUGGCUUCCUUUUCCUGUCAGGCAGCAUAUAGGGCUGGGGGCUGUCAACCGCACCCUCCCUGAAUCUACG